GUGGAUCAGGACCAGCACAGCAUAAGUCUGAGAGCACCAGGCUACUGCUCACAGUCUGACCCAAUCACAGCCUUGCACACUCCAAACAAUGUUCCAUGCCUGUGGGAAACACAGUCACCUCCAUGGUCUAGGAAUCAGAGUUGUCCUUGGGUGUCAGGGACAUUCCAGCUCCCACUUCCUCUGCAGAACUAACAACAUCAAAGGGAUGAUGACUGCUCUCCCUCCAUAGACCAGUUUAAGGAAGACAGCAAAGACUUGGAAGGAUUCAUGAAGACACCCUGCUGAGGUGAAGCGCACCAGGGCAGAAGGCAGCUGUGAUGGAUGGAUCUCAUUCUAGCUGGGCUUAGAAGGGAGCAGCAGCCAGGAGAUGCAAGGCAGACAUCCUCAUGCUGAAUAUUAGUGUCCCCAGGUUAGCAGAGAGGGAAGGGCCAUCCUAGAGGGAGAAGACACGAAGACCAACCAGGCCACUUCAGAGAGGCAAAGUGGAUAAAAGAUAGCUGGUGCCAACAGGGGUGUGUGUGUGUGUGUGUGUGUGUGUGUGUGGUUUGUGUGUGCAUGUGUGUGUGUGUGAGGGUGUAUGUGUAUGUGUAUGUGAAUGUGUGUGGUGUGUGUGCAUGUGUGUGUCUCUGCACAUGGAAAUGAGUGGGUGUGGCUGCAAGGGCCAGUGCUGGACUCUACUGGCAGAUGCCUGCAGAGGACUUUGUCUUAUAGGGACAGGCACCUUCAAGUAUUUCUAGAAGAAUCUGCUAUACAACUUUGGGGACAGUACAAGUGCCUGUCCACAAAGUAGGAUGCAUGGAAGGAUGGAUGCUCUAAGCUGAGAGCUACAGGAGCCUUGGAGAGGUGCGUCCAAGAAUGCAGGGAAGGGUGGAGCAGCAUGAACACUGCCUUAUCUGAGGGACACGAGGAGCAACCUAAAAGACAAGAACAGGGGUUCGAUUCCCAGACUGGAAUGUAAAGAUCUUCAGGGAGCCAUUGGAGGCUCCCAGGACUCCCAGCACUAAAGUGCUCAGGCAGCUUGCCCCUGCACCUUCUCCCAGAAGUUCUGCUCCCCCCACCCCCUGCUCCCUCCUGCAGCAAACAUCAGGUCUCCCCCCCCCAACCCCCGAUAGCUAGGAGAGGACUCAGUCUGUUCCCUCUGAUCGCUUCUAGCCACUUGCCAGAGUUCUGGAUUCAUGAAUAUGCACACACACACACACACACACACACACACACACACACACACACACACACACACACAUUCUGGAUAGACACUUCCAAACCUCCCCUCUGGUAUUCCUUAGUUAACACUUUCUAAAUCUAUAGUUUAUCUUUGCUGCCCCAGACCCAAUUGGGGGAGUGGUCCCUGGGGCAGCUUCCCUGACUCUGACAUGUUGGUGGGCUUUUAAUUUGACCACUCUGCUGGAUGUGGUCUGUCCUACACUCCUCUCGCAGCAGAAUCCUUCCUUCUCCAUUCUGGUACUCCUUGCCUGGGAAUCUUAAAAUCCCACCUCUUCUACCCUGCCUGGCUCCUGACCAUUGAUUGGCUCUUUAUUGAUCAAUCAAAAACCCAUUGGGGACGGGGACCCUCAGCGUCUGCAGAUUCCUGUGUAAUUUUGGGAUCUGUAUUAAGACAAAGCUUCAGAACCAAUCCCCAACAGCUUCUUGUUCCAAUAUCUGGAAUCCUGAUCUUCUGGACUCAUCCAGAAGGCUGGCGUCACUUCUCCAGCUCUGCCCUCUGUAGCACUCUAGGUUCUGGUUGACUCCACUCCACUGCUGCUGUUGCUCUUAGUGGCACUUAUGGUACUGGCAUCUCUAGCACACUGGGAUCUUUCACUGCAACUAGGCUUCACCAAUAGCCUCUCAUAGUUUCUCUUCAUGGUGCCAAGCCUCAACUUUUUGCAUGACCCUUUCAGUUCUGAGCCAACUACAACCGAGGCACCUUCACCAAUGGCCUUCCCUGGCCUCUCACAGUUCCAAGCCUCAGCUGCUCUCCAUGAUCCCUUCAUGCCUUCAAAACCAGUACCACCUGAGUAAUUCUUACACAUUACCAAGUCCAUCUGAAACAUGAGGUACAACCUUGGCUAUCUCUGGAACACAGCUUCUUUGUGCUCUCAGGAAACACUUCCCAGAAGAUUUCACCUCAGUGGCACUGAUCUUUUCUUAGUCAUCCCUAAUUUCUUAGCUCCAGCUAACCAGCAUUAAAUGUCCCAGUAGUCCCUUUUUGACUCUAAAGCCAGAGCCACAUGGCCAAAGUUGCUUAGUUCUGCUGCUUGUAGGAGUUGGAACAUGGCCACCUUGUUCUAUUAUAUUAUCACCAGCUUUCUGUUUUCCAACUCCUUCACUGCCUAAGCUUGGCUGUCCUGGAACUAGCUCUGUAGAUUGACCUUGAACUAUAUGGCUCUGUCUCCUGAUUUCUGGGAUUAAGGGUGUAUACCACCACAUCUACAGUUAAACUUUUCUUUACCUGGAACUUGCACUGUACCAAGCUGGCCUUGAACCCAGAGAUCUGCUUGCCUCUGUCUCCUGGGAUUAAAAGAUAUGAUUUAAGCUUUUCAUUCUCUAUCUUAAUCAAAUUAAAACUGAGAAUAGCUGUCACAAUCAAUUUGACACAUAAUCAUAUCUCCUUAUGUCCAAAUGAAAACAAUAAUUAUGUCAUAGUAAUCCCUAACAUGACAUAACUCUGUCAUACAACUGCAAAUACAAAAGCUUUGCUGGAUGGGAUCUUGCCCAGAGGUCACCACUCCGUUAAUUCCAUUUAAUGUCUUUGAACACAGCAUUUAGCUUCACUCCACUUCCUGGUGCCUCUUUAUUCUUUGAACUAUACAUUUUGUAUUUUUUCCUUCCUAAGCUUGCUACACGUGGUCAAAAUACUCGUCAUGAGAGUAAGCCAGAGGACAAAGUUUCUGCUGGGCUUUUUUGAGCAUUUUUUAGUCAAUGAAAUUACUAUAAAUCUCUUUACCUUAACCUAAGGCAGACUCUUCAAACAAGGACAAAAAGCAGCAAUGUUCUUUACUGAAACAUCGUAAAAACAAUCUGCAGAGUUCAAAUCAUCCUCAGCACCAAUGUCUUUCAUAUUCCUACUAGGAUGGACCAUUAAGUCCACUUAAAGCAUUCCACUGCUUUCCAAAAUCCAACAUCCCCAAAUCCAUAUUCCCCCAAACAAAAGCAUGGUUAGGCCUAUCACAGCAAUACCCUAUGCCUGGUAUGAACUUCUAUCUUAGGUUUUCAUUGCUGUGAACAGACACCAUGACCAAGGCAACCUUUAUAAAGGGCAACAUUUAAUUGGGGCUGGCUUACAGGUUCAGAGGUUCAGUCCAUUAUCAUCAAUGCAGGAAGCAUGGUAGCAUCCAGACAGAUAUGGUGCUGAAGAAGGAGCCAAGAGUUCUACAUCUUGAUCAGAAGGCAAUCAUGAGAAGGCUGGCUUCUGCCCUGGGCAGAGCUCAAGCAUAGGACCUCAAUCCCACAGUGACUCACUUUCGCUAACAAGGCCACACCUACUCCAACAAAGGACAUACCUCCUAGUAGUGUCAGUCCUUAUGGACCAAGCAUUCAAACACAUGAGUCCACCCAGGAUAAACCUAUUUGAACCAGUACACUGCUCCUACACUGAAGCCGUGGUUCAUUUAUCCACUCUGAACUUCCUGCUAGCGGUGGGUGUGGUGAAUGAAGAACACACACACACGCCCGCGCGCGCGCACACACACACACACACACACACACACACACACACACACACACACACACACACACACACACACUUGUAGCUUUAUAUUUAAUAUGCCUUAAAUAGCACAAUGGCUGGACAUUGCCAAACCUCCCCACAGCACACACGCACACCCUCCGAUAUUCUUGAUUUAUCACUUUCUAAACUCUAUAUCUUAUCUUUGCCACCCCCGAUCCAGUCGGGGAAGGGGCCUCUGCCUGACUCUUACACAGCUGGAUGCUUUCUCUCCUACAGCUCUUCUUCCCAUGGUCUCUUGUCAGGGAAAUCUAAAGUCCCGCCUCUGUCUCCCUGCCUAGCCAUUGGCUGCUGGCAAUGGGAGCAGGGAUUGUCAGUGUAUUAAAUGCAGAUGUGUGAAUUCUCCUGUUAUUUUGGGAGCCAAAUUAACACAAAUAGCAUUAGAACCAAUCCUAGCACUAUACCAGUACCAUGCAGUUUCUAUCACUAUUGUUCUGUAGUACAGCUUGAGGUCAGGGAUGGUGAUUCCUCUAGAAAUUCUUUUAUUGUUCAGGCUUGUUUUGACCAUCAUUUUUUAUUUUUUCCAUGUGAAGUUGACAAUUGCUUUCCCAAGGUCUGUAAAUAGUUGUGUUGGAAUUUUGAUGGGAAAUGCAUUGAAUCUGUAGAUUGCUUUUGGUAGGAUGGCCAUUUUCACUAUGUUAAUUCUACCAAUCCAUGAGCAUGGGAGAUCCAUCUGUUGAUAUCCUCCUCAAUUUCUUUCUUCAGGGACUUGAAGUUCUUGUCAUACAGAUUUUUCACUUGAUUGGUUAGAGUUAUAGUUUAUAUUAUUUGUGGCUAUUGUGAAAGGUGUUGUUUUCCUCAUUUCUUUCUCAUCUUGUUUACCGUUUUUAUAAAAGAGGGCUACUGAUUUUUCUAUCAGGGUCUUCUCAAGAUAUUCAUUGCAGUUUCCCUCUAACCUACUGAGCCACUAUUUCCAGGGCAGGGAUGCAGCUUAGUGUCUUUGUAAAGCCCUUGAAUGUCUGUAGCUUGUGACUAGGACUGAGAACUCCCAAGCACAUUCUAUGUACAUACAUGCACAUGCAUGUGCUUAGCUGGGCUGUCUCUAGGCAGUACCAUAACUGUCUUCAUCCCGGUGUCUGUGAUAGGUAGGCUAGGCUGCUGUGGGGCUCAGGCAAGCAGCAGUGUGACUCAUCAAUUAGCUUUUCAGAACAAAGAAAAUCCACUUUAAGAUAUUUACUGCCUAGAUGCUAACGCAGUGAGCAACUUUAAAGGCUGCCUUCUCUUAAUUACAAACAGAAUUACAACUUUGCCCCUGUGCUACCAGCAGUAGCUUAGAGAAGAGAUGUGGAGGCAGGCCCCCAUGAUGCUGGUUACAGGUGGUUGCUGUCAGGAGGUGAGGCUCCCAGUUUUGCCAAGAAGGCCACAUGCCUAGGAACCCAGGCUCUGCAGGGCUGUUUGGCAGGGUCUGGGAUGUCAGGUGGGUAUCAGGUGGUGUCUUCUAUGUCAGUGUCAAUUCUGGAUUAUCAGUUAGGCUCUGGGGUCAGUACUAAGAUGUGGGCUUUCUCCCCUCCCCCAGACUGUAUUUUUGGUAUUUUUGUAUUUUUUUCCUCACCUCUGAACAACAGAUGACCUUCAUAGACAUUAGCCAGGCUUCAUAGACAUUAGUAUAGACUUUUUUUAUUAGGUAUUUUCCUCAUUUACAUUUCCAAUGCUAUCGCAAAAGUUCCCCAUACUCUCCCCCCCCCACUCCCACUUUUUGGCCUUGGCGUUCCCCUGUACAGGGGCAUAUAAAGUUUGCGUGUCCAAUGGGCCUCUCUUUCCAGUGAUGGCCGACUAGGCCAUCUUUUGAUACAUAUGCAGCUAGAGUCAAGAGCUCCGGGGUACUUGUUAGUUCAUAAUGUUGUUCCACCUAUAGGAUUAUAGAUCCCUUUAGCUCCUUGGAUAUUUUCUCUAGCUCCUCCAUUGGGGGCUCUGUGAUCCAUCCAAUAGCUGACUGUGAGCAUCCACUUAUGUGUUUGCUAGGCCCCGGCGUAGUCUCACUAGAGACAGCUAUAUCAGGGUCCUAUCAGCACAAUCUUGCUAGUGUAUGCAAUGGUGUCAGCUUUUGGAGGCUGAUUAUGGGAUGGAUCCCUGGAUAUGGCAGUCUCUAGAUGGUCCAUCCUUUUGUCUCAGCUCCAAACUUUGUCUCUGUAACUCCUUCCACGGGUGUUUUGUUCCCAAUUCUAAGAAAGGGCAAAGUGUCCACACUUUGGUCUUCGUUCUUCUUGAGUUUCAUGUGUUUUGCAAAUUGUAACUUAUAUCUUGGGUAUUCUAAGUUUCUGGGCUAAUAUCCACUUAUCAGUGAGUACAUAUCAUUUGAGUUCUUUUUGAUUGGGUUACCUCACUCAGGAUAAUGCCCUCCAGGUCCAACCAUUUGCCUAGGAAUUUCAUAAAUUCAUUGUUUUUAAUAGCUGAGUAGUAUUCCAUUGUGUAAAUGUACCACAUUUUUUGUAUCCAUUCCUCUGUUGAGAGGCAUCUGGGUUCUUUCCAGCUUCUGGCUAUUAUAAAUAAGGCUGCUAUGAACAUAGUGGAGCAUAGCAUAGACUUUUGAGUGCUGGAUGCCAAAGCCCUAGGCUGGGUCUGGAACUAUGAAGUCCGUGCAGGUUACCGACCUCAGCACAUCUUUCUGCUAAGCCACAGUGAUCAUGGGACUCUGGGAGCUGUGUGGAGCUGUGACCAACACCUGGUCCUCUUAACUCUGCUCACCUGCACAGGAACAAGAAACUGCUGACUGAAAAAGCCCAAGUGUGUGUGUGUGUAAAACAUGUCCAGUGGUCAUUCCCAGAGCCCAAGACCACACAAAAAUGGGUUUCUUCAUUUUAAUGUAUCGUGUGUGUGUGUCUGCUGCAAAACCAUGGUUCUCCAAGCCACACUGCUACUCACCUGAGCCCCACAGCAGCCCUACCUACCACAGAUGCUGUUACACUGGUUCCCAAGGGAAAAAUGAGGACACUGGGUUGUAGACAGUUAAGGUACUGUCUGGAGACAACCCAGCUAAGAAGGGAGAACUAGGACAUGAGCCCAGACAGUUCAGCAUUAUAAGGAAAGGCAGACAGAGAAGGACAGACAGAAAGACACACAGACAGAGAAAAACAGACAAAGAUAGAGAUGAGACAGAGACAAAGAACAAGAAAAAAGGCAAGAGAGUAACUUUAAAGAGCAGGGACCAUGUCACAGGUCUGAACCUGAGGAAGUGGGUGUUCUUGUAUGAGGACUCCUAUCUGCCCUCCAGCUGCUCCCUAAAAUCAAGCCUCUGCAGGUCACAGCUGGCUUGCUGCCAGUUUGAAAGGCAGGUAACCCUGCCCCACCUCCCUGCAAGGCCUCGUGGAUUCGUUUGAAGGCUGCUGUUGUCACCUUGUGGCCAGAUCUGGUUCUACAUGCCUGGAGUCCACAGGGUUUUCUGCUUCCUCACCAAAGCUUUCCUGAAGGUCCCUGGGUCUUGCUACACCCCAAGAAGACUUGGGCAUCGACCCUGCUUCUGCUGAAGGGGGCAUUAAAAUCUUAGACUUCCUGCUAGGACCUCCAUUUGACAUCAGGCCUGAAGACCCGGCUAUGUCUGGAAGGGCAGGUCUUCAAUCCAGGAUACCACAUGGACUCCACUUUUCAAGUGGAUGGAUGCUUUUCAAGAGGGAGGACAGUGUGAGGCAGGGUAGACAGUCUUUGACACAACAUAUACACACACAACUUACACAUAACGCAUACCAAAUACACGCACAACAUACAUGCAUAACACACAUGUCACACAUAUACGACACAGAGUACACAUUACACAAGCAAGCUAUCCAGCUGUGGGCUCCAUCCUGGCCCUUGGUGCAGCCCAGCUUGAUAUGAGACUCACCAAAAUGGGCUCAGUGCAGGGUGUCACACAGCAUGAAGCUCCUAGAAGCUUCAGCUGUGUCUGGGAGGUCUGGACCCCUAACUUUCCACAAAGGCCAGAGUGGACACAUGUGUAAUCCCAGGGAGGAAGUGAGCCAGAGUUGACACACAUGAGGUUGCAGGAGAGAUGGUGAGCCAGAGUGGAAACAGCUGUAAUCCCAGGAGGGAGGUGAUUCAAAGUGGACAAAUCUGUAAUCCAAGAGAGCCAGAGAGCCAGAGUGGACACAUCUGUAAUCCCAGGAGAGAGAGAGUCAGCCAGAGUGAAUACCUCUGCAAUCCUAGGGAGACAAUGAAGCAGAGUGGACAUAUUUGCAAUCCCUGGAGAGAUGUUGAUUCCGAGUGGAAACAUUUGUAAUCCCAGGGAGACGGAGAAGCUGAGUGGAUGAAUCUGUAAUCACAAGAGUAAGGUUGAACCAGACUGCACACUUAUAAUUCCGGAGAGACAGUGAGCCAGAUUGGACAAAUCUGUAAACACAGGAGGACUGAGUCAAAAUGGACACAUUUGUAAUUCCAGGAGAUAUGGUGGGACAGAGUGGAAAUACUUGUAAUCCCAGGAGAUGGUGAGCCAGAGUGGACACAUUUGUAAUACAAGGAGAUAAAGAGCAAGAGUGAACACAUUUGAUAUCCCAGGAAAUGGUGAGACAAGGUGAACAUAUUAGUAAUCCCAAAUAAUGGUGAGCCAGAGUGGACACAUUUGUAAUUCCAGGAGAUGGUGAGCCAUAGUGGACACAUUUGUAAUCCCAGGAGAUGGUGAUCAGAGUGGACAUAUUUGUAAUAUAAGGAAAUGGAGAGCAAGAGUGGAAACAUUUGUAAUCCCAGGAAAUGGUGAGCCAUAGUGGACACAUUUGUAAUCCAAGGAGAUGGUGAGCCAUAGUGGACAAAUUUGUAAUCUCAGGAGAUGGUGAGCCAGAGUGGACACACUUGUAAUUCUAGGAGAUGGUGAGCCAAGGUGGACAUACUAAUAAUGCCAAAGGAUGGUAAGCCAGAGUCGAAACAUUUGUAAUCCCAAAGGAUGGUGAGCCAGAGUGGAUAUAUUUGUAAUCCCAGGAGAAGGUAAGCCAGAGUGGACACACUUGUAAUACAAGGAGAUGGAGAGCGAGAGUGGACACAUUUUUAAUCCCAGGAAAUGGUGAGCGAGAGUGGACACAUUUGUAAUCCUAGGAGAUGGUGAGCCAUAGUGGACACAUUUGUAUAUCCAGGAGAAGGUAAGCCAGAGUGGACAAAUUUGUAAUCCCAGGAGAUGGUAAGCCAGAGUGAACACAUUAGUAAUCCUAGUAGAUGGUGAGUCAGAGUGGACACAUUUGUAAUCUCAAGAUAUGGUGAGCCAAGGUAGACAUAUUAGUAAGCCCAAAUGAUGGUGAGCCAGAUUGGACACAUUUGUAAUCCCAAAGGAUGGUGAUCCAGAGUAGACAUAUUUGUAAUUCCAGGAGACGGUAAGCCAGAGUAGAUAUUUUUGUAAUCCCAGGAGAUAGUGAACCAGAGUGGACACCUUUGUAAUACAAGAAAAUGGAGAGCGAGUGGGGAAACAUUUGUAAUGCCAGGAAAUGGUGAGCCACAGUGGACAAAUUUGUAAUCCCAGGAGAUGGUGAGCCAUAGUGGACAAAUUUGCAAUCCCAGGAGAUGGUAAGCCAGAGUGGACACAUUUGUAAUCCCAGGGCAUGGUGAACCAGAGUGGACACAUUUGUAAUCCUAGGACAUGGUGAGCAAAGGUGGACAUACUAAUAAUGCCAAAGGAUGGUGAACCAGAGUGGACACAUAUGUAAUCCCAAAGGAUGGUGAGCCAGAGUGGAUAUAUUUGUAAUCCCAGGAGAAUGUGAGCCAGAGUGGACACAUUUGUAAUACAAGGAGAUGGAGAGCGAGAGUGGACACAUUUUUAAUCCCAGGAAAUGGUGAGCCAGAGUGGAUACAAUUGUAUUCCCAGGAGAUUGUGAAUCAGAGUGGACAAAUUUGUACUCGCAGCAGAUAGUAAGACAGAGUGAACAAAUUUGUAAUCCAAGGAGAUGGUAAAACAGAGUGGACAAAUUUGUAAUCCCAGAAGAUGGUGAGCCAAGGUAGAAAUAUUAGUAAGCCCAAAGGAUGGUGAGCCAGUAUGGACACAUUUGUAAUCCCAAAGGAUGGUGAUCCAGAGUAGACAUAUUUGUAAUCCCAGGAGAAGGUGAGCUAGAGUAGACAUUUUUAUAAUUCCAGGAGAUGUUGAGCCAGAAUGGACACAUUUAUAAUACAAAGAGAUGUAGAACAGGAGCAGACACAUUUGUAAUCCCAGGAGAUGGUGAGCCAGAUUGGACACAUUUGUAAUCCCAGGAGAUGGUGAGCCAGAGUGGACACAUUUGUAAUCCUAGGAGAUGAUGAGCCAUAGUGGACACAUUUGUAAUCCUAGGAGAUGAUGAGCCAUAGUGGACAAAUUUGUAAUCCCAGGAGAUGGUAGACCAGAAUGGACACAUUUGUAAUCCCAGGGGAUGGUGAACCAGAGUGGACACAUUUGUAUUCCCAGGAGAUGGUGAGCCAAGGUGGACAAACUACUAAUGCCAAAGGAUGGUGAGCCAGAGUGGAUAUAUUUGUAAUCCCAGGAGAAGGUGAGCCAGAGUGGACAAACUUGUAAUACAAGGAGAUGGAGAGCAAGAAAGGACACAUUUUUAAUCCCAGGAAAUGGUGAGGGAGAGUGGACACAUUUGUAAUCCUAGGAGAUGGUGAGCCAUAUUGGACAAAUUUGUAAUCCAGUGAGAGGGUGAGACAGAGUGGAUACACUUGUAAUCCCAGGAGAUGGUGAGCCAGAGUGGACAAAUUUGUAUUCCCAGAGAUGGUAAGCCAUAGGAGACAAGUUUGAAUUCCCAGGAGAUAGUAAACCAGAGUGGACAAAACUGUAUUCCCAGGAGAUGCUAAUCCAGAGUGGACACAUUAGUAAUCCUAAUCGAUGGAGAGUCAGAGUGGACACAUUUGUAAUCUCAGGAUAUGGUAAUCCAGAGUAGACAUAUUUGUAAUCCCAGGAGACGGUGAGCCAGAGUAGACAUUUUUAUAAUUUCCAGGAGAUGGUGAGCCAGAAUGGACACAUUUGUAAUACAAGGAGAUGUAGAACACGAGUGGACACAUUUGUAAUCCCAGGAAAGGUGAGCGAGAUUGGACACAUUUGUAAUCCCAGGAGAUGGCAAGCCAGAGUGGACACAUUUGUAUUCCCAGGAGAUGGUGAAGCAGAGUGGACACAUUUGUAGCCCAAGGAAAUGGAGAGCGAGCAGGGACACAUUUGUAUUCCCAGGAGAUGGUGAAGCAGAGUGGACACAUUUGUAGCCCAAGGAAAUGGAGAGC
rnacentral:lncRNA from 1 species